CACACCCUGACAAUGGGAAAGGGAAGGCCAAACGAGUCACAGUCUGUCUGGAUCGCUGCUCUGAUCAUUUCAAAAUUAAGCAUGAAAAGUCUCACAGUCAAUCAACAAGAUUUGGCUACACCAUGUUUUGGGUGAACAAUGUGUGCAGAAUUUGAGCAAAACAAUGGAUUUUUGUAAGCUGCAAUCCCAGUCUAAAGGCUUUUUAUUCAAUGAGGUAUACACAUAAAGGGAUGGUGCUAUAAAUGGCAAGCUGGGAUAAGACAUCUUGGCGUGUGCUCACAGGCAAGUAGUGACAAAUGACAGACAUAUACAGUCUCAAGAGGAACAUCAGCUAACUGUGAUUGAACUGCAGUCCAUCCAUGUUCUAUACAGCUCAUCCUGUUUGGAGUUAUAAGAAACGUUGAGUCAAACCCAGCUGACAGCCAACUCCAUCCUGAAGUGAUCGCCUGUCAACCGCAGGCGAUUACGAACGUAGAAUUGAGCCUGCGCCAGCUGCAUGAAAGUGAGUGUGACUGUGACCCAUCAUAAUUUCACAUCAACUUGCUUCAAUUGAUGAGAAUUUUGAGGAUGGCACCAAUCAUUGUGCCUCAGAGUCAGCAUUUUGUCCAAACCACAGGUUUAAUGUAAACGCUGCGACACCGCAUUCCCCUUUCACCACCUCCACCGCUUCCCAGAGCCCCCGUCCACGAUGGGGUCGUGUUCGUCACCGCACAUCUGGACUGAUGUCGAACUGAUGGGAAGCUGCUAAUGAGAACCACAGAACUCAGAUCCUGUGUCUUCUCCUGUAUCACGUUUUUCGAUGAGCUCCAACAUGAGGACAAGUUGGAAGGGAAUCUAUCCGUCUGUGGCCUUUUCCCAUCCCCUCAGAUGCCGAGACUUUGACCAGCUGACAGAGGGGUCAAUGGAUGGAGGAUGCCUUGAGGAGAAUGUCAUCUGUUUUGUCACUAACAUCGUGCACUGUGCCCUGGCGCUGAACCAGUGCUCCGCAGAUUUUGACAUAAAGGUUUCAAACUGCAUCGCAGGCUUAUUUUUUUUGGCUUGAACUUCAUGUAUUUAAAGCAAGAGAAAAAGUCUUGCUCAAGGGCUCCCCCUAACAAUAAAACCAAAACACUGACAGCGUUUUGAAAUACAUGCUUUACACUCUACAGCAUUAUUUUUGAACAACAAAAACACACAAACAGGGGCAAUAAAUGGGCGUGCUGACAAA